UCGUAUCACAUCAAAACACCGCUUCUCGUACGAUCAUCGAAGUUAAGCAACGUCGAACCUGGUUAGUAUCUAGAUGGGUGACCUCUUGGGAAUUGCAGGUGCUGUUA